AGAGUAUGAUACCGGCUCAGGACGAACGCUAGCGGCGUGGAUUAGGCAUGCAAGUCGUACGAGAAUCAGUGGCUUCGCCCGCUGAGGAAAGUGGCGAAAGGGUGAGUAACGCGUAGGUAAUCUACCUUCGAGAUAGGGAUAACGGUCCGAAAGGGCCGCUAAUACCGUAUACGAUUGGAGUUCCUUCGGGAUAUCCAAUGAAAGGUGGGUCUUCGGAUCUGUCGCUCAAAGAUGAGCCUGCGUCCUAUUAGCUAGUUGGUGAGGUAACGGCUCACCAAGGCUACGAUGGGUAGCUAGUCUGAGAGGAUGAUUAGCCACAUUGGGACUGAGACACUGCCCAAACUCCUACGGGAGGCNGCAGUCGAGAAUAUUUCGCAAUGGGGGAAACCCUGACGAUGCGACGCCGCGUGGGGGGUGAAGGUCUUCGGAUUGUAAACCUCUGUGUUAUGGGAAGAAUCGCUGGUAGGUGAUAAGCUUGCUAGCUUGACGGUACCAUAGUAGAAAGCCCCAGCUAACUGCGUGCCAGCAGCUGCGGUAAUACGUGGGGGGCAAGCGUUGUCCGGAUUUACUGGGCGUAAAGCGUGUGUAGGCGGUUACAUAAGUCGAGUGUGAAAUGGCUUGGCUCAACUAAGCAACUGCGCUCGAUACUGUGUGGCUUGAGUACGGAAGAGGAAAGUGGAAUGUAAGGUGUAGCGGUGAAAUGCGUAGAUAUCUUAUAGAACACCUAUGGCGAAGGCAGCUUUCUGGUCCGAUACUGACGCUGAGUACACGAAAGCUUGGGGAGCGAACGGGAUUAGAUACCCCGGUAGUCCAAGCCGUAAACGAUGGGUACUAAGUGUAGGGGGUAUUGAUUCCUCCUGUGCUGUAGCUAACGCAUUAAGUACCCCGCCUGGGGAGUACGGCCACAAGGUUAAAACUCAAGGUAAUUGACGGGGGGCCGCACAAGCGGUGGAGCAUGUCGCUCAAUUCGAAGCAACGCGAAGAACCUUAUCCAGGGCUUGACAUCGCGCUGACCGCCAUAGAAAUAUGGCUUUCCUUUUGGACAGCGUGACAGGUGCUGCAUGGCUGUCGUCAGCUCGUGUCGUGAGAUGUUGGGUUAAGUCCCGCAACGAGCGCAACCCCUGUCGCUAGUUACCAUCAGGUAAUGCUGGGGACUCUAGCGAGACCGCUGGUGACGAGCCAGAGGAAGGUGGGGAUGACGUCAAGUCCGCAUGGCCCUUAUGCCCUGGGCUGCACACGUGCUACAAUGGUCGGUACAGAGGGUAGCCAAACCGCGAGGUGGAGCAAAUCCCAAAAAGCCGACCUCAGUUAGGAUUGUAGUCUGCAACUCGACUACAUGAAUUUGGAAUCGCUAGUAAUCGCGAAUCAGCAGGUCGCGGUGAAUAUGUUCCCGGCCCUUGUACACACCGCCCGUCACGCCAUGGAAGUCGGUAGCGCUCGAAGACGGUGGGCUAACCUUCGGGAGGCAGCUGGCGAAAGCGAGACCGAUGACUGGGGCGAAGUCGUAACAAGGUAGCCGUAGGGGAACCUGCGGCUGGAUCACCUCCUUUNU
rnacentral:rRNA from 1 species